rnacentral:rRNA from 1 species
CCCUUAGAUGUUCUGGGCCGCACGCGCGCUACACUGAUGGAUUCAACGAGUUUUUGCUGUUUCUUAGUUGAGAUGGUUGACUUGGCCGGAAGGUCUGGUAAAUCUUUUGAAUGUCCAUCGUGAUGGGGCUAGAUUUUUGCAAUUAUUAAUCUCCAACGAGGAAUUCCUAGUAAACGCAAGUCAUCAGCUUGCAUUGAUUACGUCCCUGCCCUUUGUACACACCGCCCGUCGCACCUACCGAUUGAACGAUCCGGUGAAAUCUUCGGAUUCUGCGUUUGUGCAUUGAUUUGUGUGGAUGCGGGAAAAGUUGAGUAAACCUUAUCGUUUAGAGGAAGGUGAAGUCGUAACA